CCUUGUAUGGUAGAAGUCAGAGUGUCUCCUCAAUCCUGGUGACUUAGGCACAAGGCAAAAUGAUCCUAGGACAGGACAGCCCUGGGGCAUUGAGGCAAAUUUGAAUUCUACCUGCUGGGAAUGUUGUGGGGGCACCCAGGGCAAAAUAAUCUCUCCCGGGUUCUGCCACCAGAACAUGGCAGGCUGGACCAAGGCUCACGAACACACAGUGCCCCUGACACCCCAGCUCCUGACACACAGCCUCCUUCAAGCAAGAUCUGGGAGUCCCACUCGUUUUGCCUGCCACUUCCAAGCACAGCCCCAGGUGACUUGCAGGAGAGUAGAGUCAUGGUUCAACUCCCACCAUCAGCAUUUCCUAACCAGCCACUGUGUACUGGACACCCCCACAUGCCUGUCUUAGGAGGCAAGGAUCAAACAGACAACUCCUUGUUCGCAAGAACUCUCACAGAGCCGAAGGCCACUCAACCUAUUGUGAAAUGGCAGCCAGGGCAGGGAAGGGCUGGGCUGCUCCUACCUCCUUCAUUCAGUCAAUGGCCCCAGUGAGGACCUGACUUGGGGGUCAACAGCAGAUGAAUUUUCCAGUCUCCAAACAACAGGCACCAGCUUUCUGAACCAAGUCAAGGAACCCAGGUCUGGGAGGAUGCGGCAUUCAGACCCUGGGGUUUUACAUCCUGUAUCAAGUAUGUCCAGUCUCUGCCUACAAACUCUAUGUGCGUCAGGAUAGGUAUGAAUGCCGGCCAACGUAAAAUCACAACCCUAACCCUCAGGCUGAACUGCUCUCUCAGAGGAUACAAGUUUGGUUCUCAGCACUAGCAUGUGGCAAUUCACAAACUACCUGUAACUCCAGCUCUGUGAAUCCAGCACCCUCUUCUGGCCUUUUUGGGGCACUGCAUGCAAGUACACAAACCCACACUCAGGCACACAUUCUCAUACACAUAAUCAAAAUUUUAAAAUAAAAAAGAUCGGAUACAUGUACUAGGCCUUCCUCUUGAGUCUACCCACCCUGCCCCAUCCUUGGUUCUUAGCACCCUAGCCUGAACUACAGAUCCUUUCUGACCACUCUUUCUGACUGUUGCUUCUUGCCCUCACAAACAAUAACUAGAGCUGGCCAUGGCACACAUUGCCCUCCUGAGUUCCCACUGUGCUGAAGAGCAAGCCCGAGGCCCCCAAUCCUUGAGAUGCCUUCAAAACCUGCGAGCCUCCCUGCUCUCCAGAACCCCUUUCAGUGGAGAUCAAAGUUGAAGAUCAUCUCUCCUUUCUCUGAUUGCCCCUGCCCUUGUUUAGACUUAAUCUGGCUUUCCUGACAUUGUCUAUCAGAGCCAGGAGCAGGAACUUGUUCAUAUCUACCUUCCCUAUGCUUGGCACACAGUCGCUACUCAAUAGGAAUGGCUAGAUAUAUCUAUCUCAUGUUUUAGGUCAGAUCGGUGAAAACCAAGAUGCAUAAACACGAGGCCACCAUUUCUCUGCCACGGGUGUCGCUGCAGCAAAACCCUGGUCCCCUCAGAGAAGCCUGACCUUUUAUUCAGCAGUUGGGCAGGACAAGGGGCAGAACUGACCCCUGGCUGCCCGUCUGGCAGGAGUGGCCAGAUGGGAACAGAGAGGCAGUCUGAGUAACCAGAGGGAGGGAGAAGGCUGGUAGGGGAGGGGAGGCCACAGUGGGCAGGAGAGGAAGGAAGAAGUGAGCUGCAGGGGGCUCCUAGGGAAGGGGCUAGAAGCAGGACAAGCAAUAUCCAGAAUGGGUGAGACUUAAAAGACAUCUCUAGUGCCAAGUGUAGGGGUGCUGGCCUGAAAUCUUGGUUGUUGGAAGGUUGAGACAGGAGGAUUGCCCUGAGUUUGCAGCCAGCCCCAUAGCGAAUUAUAGACUCUUAGGAGACAGUGUCUCAAAGAAAGGAAAGUAAAAAAAAAAAAAAAAAAAAAAGACAACAUCUCCAGAGAGCAAAGAAACGAGCUGUCCCCGCCCCAGCACAGACGAACACUGGCUACACCCACAGCCCAAGGCAGAAGUGCGACAGAGACGCGGGGGUGCUGUGCCGCCGGGUGUUGGGGCUGGUGGUAGGCAGCUCGGGUGCUGCUAGGUGUGAGUGUUGGUGGUAGGCAGCAAAGGGCAGAGCUCCCUGGGCCCAGAAAUCCAAGGUAGAGUCUAGGAGGAAACCAGGCUGUUAACUCCUCAGCAAAGACAAAGGAGGAGUUGGGCGGGGGCAAGACUAACUCCUAUAAAAGUGUUCCUGUGGCCCGAAGUAUCAGAAAAUCCCAACAAACCAAAACACAACAGCCAUUGUUUGGCAGAAUUCCUGGACAUCUUUUGGUACAGUUAUGACCCCUGUAAGCAGGUACAGGGCCUUACAUGCCUUGCUGGGUCCUCUGGGCACUGAUAGGGACCUCUGGGCUUGGUGCCUGGAUCAAGGAUUCAACAGUUGUUUAGGAGUGGCCUUGAAGAGAAUCACUUGUGCCUAAGAUUAUUGAUUAUUGAUUAAGGACAAGGGAGAUAAGCGGAUUCAUUCUUGAAUCCCUCAAGCUGCCAGUGUCCCUACCUCAGAACCACAGUCUCCUUCCACAGGACCCAGGUUUCAUCCCACCUCCACUUGGCAAGCUAGAAACAGGAACUUGAGACAGGCCACCAAGGGAGACUCAAAGAGCAUCAGGACCAUCCUUCUUAGAGUGAGCCCUAAGUGAGCAACCAGGAUGGAGGCCCAUCUGGUCUUGCUUGACCUGACCUCUAAGGGACUCAGUGAACACAUCUGGAGGAUGGGCAUCUCAGAAUUUGAGGGUCAAUAAACAUAGAAGCUGAAGCCCUUUGGGGGGGGGGAACCACACUCCCCCACAAUCCUCUCUGACUCAUGGGGUAUGAAAGUACUGAGGGGCUGGGCCCAGGUGGUUCAUUUUCAGGGCCCAGGACUCUCAACUCCUGACCCCUGAUUUCUAGUCUAGGACAAGAUCACAAUGUGGUUUCACCCUCUCUUUCCCCAUGUCAAUCAAAGAGGACAGAGAACUUCUUUGAAGGAGUCAACUGAAGAAGGGAUCCUUGUCUGGGGUAGGAAGGACAAGAGAUAGGACAGGGAGGCAGGGCUUAAACACACUGCCUCAUCUGGUGCUCCCAAGGCUGUGGUGCUCCCAAGGCUGUGGUGCUCCCAAGGCUGUGAUGAUCCCAUGGUUGCAGUGCUCCCAUGGUUGUGGUGCUCCCAAGGCUGCAGUGCUCCCUUGCAGAGGUGAGGGGGUCUCAUGUCACAACAGAGAAACAGGGGUUCAGGGAGGCUAGGGCACAUGCAAGAAGUCAGGGUGUGUAUAUGACAAGGCUGAAGCUGCAGCCUGGCCUGAUGAGCAGAAGAGAAGCAGCCCCAGCUUCGACACUGUCACCUUCCAGCUCUGUCACUGUCACCUGCCACCCUCAAUGCACCCUCCCUAGGAUCUCCUUCUAAGGGUCAUCCACUCCAAAAGGGGUCAUUUUGCUCCCUGUUGGCAAGGCCUGGCAGUUCCCCAAAGCUGACUGGCAUGAUGUCUCUAGCAGCCUGUGGUACAGUUGGUGUGUAGGCUCCUUACCCUGGGGUCCCGGACACCCAGGAAAGGGCCAGUGAGAAGCUAAGGCAUGUGCCUGGCUCUGUCUCUCUGGCCUGUGCCCCCGGGCUAGGCCUCAUCCUUCCUUGGUGUGCAGAGGAGGGUGGAACAGGAGAAUCACAAGGUCAUGGGGUCACACCAGGAGCCUAGCAACUGCUCCUGUUAUAGAGGACAGUGGGAGGGACACUGAAGGCGAGCUGCAGAAGCCAGGUGAGCCUGUCACCAUAGGGCAAGACUAGGCUAAGACCUUGGAGGGCUCUUCUCCCUGCACAGCAAAGCCAGCUGACCAAUCAGCAUUCGGGGCAGGACAGGAGUCCAUCAGUGUGAGAAGCAACACACUAUGGUAUCUGCCUUUUUAAUUCAUGCCACCUUCCCUCAGGUCUCCCUGACCCGGGACAGCCCCACCUGGCUAGACCUGGUCCCCCUGUUAAAUGCUCCUCCUCUUCUCCCUCCUAUGCUUCUGGCUGCUGUGGGAUUCUGACCAGCAGAGAUCCCUCAUCUCCAACACCCUCACCUCAUCCACAUGACCCCCUACAUGACCCCAAAAGACUCUCUCUCUCCAAAAGUUUCCCAUCUGUGAAAGUCUUGGACAUCAGUUUCCAAAAGUUCUUUGGAGAGAAGCAGGGGAGUUUUAGAACCCUGGAGCUGAUCUCUCACUCAGUGCCUGGGAACAGUGAGGUUCUCUUUGGAGCUGAAUCUUGGAGUGGCAGAGUUGGUAUUUUGAUUCCCUUAAGGAGACCCAGCACUGCCAAAGGCACCGCGACCUCAGCUCCUGUUUCAUGUGGAUCCCUAUGGCGCUUGCCCCCCACUCUGCAGGUGAAGGCUCACACACCAGCAGCAGUGACCUGCAGGUUGCCAGCUUGCCUUCCUGCUCUGUCGUCUCCUCGAGGCACCUCCUUGCCAGUAGCUUUUCCUUAGAAGCAUUCUUGGAAAGAGUGAAUGAGUUAGGAAUCAGCUCCUGCUAGUGCGACCCAAGAGGAGCCCAGACAGAGUACACACAGGCGUGGCAGGAGAUCUGAAUGGAGAGAGUUCAUUUACUCUUCUGUUGUCUGAACCUUGCACCUAGCCCUGCCUGCCAGGUAGGAAGAGCUGUUCCCCGUUGAGGACCUAGAUCCAACGUGGGCGAUAGGAACAGAGAGAAACAACCCUUGGCCUGUGUCCCUUACUUCCUGGUUGAGGCCCAAAGAGCUAGCCAGGGCCUCUCAGAGGAGGGUGCUGCUAUCGCGAGGAGUGUUCCCCCAAGCUUUCCUAAUAUCAGGUAGUAAGACUGGACUUCUACACCCAAGAAAUUAUCUGAGGAAAACUUUUCUGACCCCUGAGCUGGGGGAAGGGUCAUGUCACAUGGUGGAAAAGGGCGGGGACAAACCCCAGCAGUCAAAACUUUGCUCCUUCAAAAUCUCCAUGAAGGAGAGACUCCUUGGAUGGUGAAAUUUCCCAGUGGACCAAGAUCAGGAAAAGCAGCAACAUUUACCAGGUACCUGCUAAACCCAGCCCAUGUUACUGAGGCCCAGCUGAGGUUCCAAAUCUUAAGAUCACAACAGGGUCACAGGCCGGUGAGAGGCAGCGCGAGGACUGACUCUGGAGUUCCUGUUGCCUGUUCGGUCUCCAGCUUCUCUAAUAUCAGCAUCUUGCUUCAAGGCUAAAGGCACAAACAACAACUGAGGCAGAUGGAGCCAACUUUUACAAUGUCCUGUUCCCGACCCUGCAAUGGCGAACUGCAGAGAUUCAAAGGACAGGACACCCCGCCCCCCUACUAGGAAGGCCUCUUCUAGAGUGGACAGGCUACAUGCUGGACUGGGAGUGUCUUACGGGAAGCAGAUCAGUCCCCACAUAGCAGGAAUAAUUGGGACCACCCUGCCAAACAGAACCUAGAUGGGGGGGUCACCCAGGUUACACCUUCACCAGGAUUGCUUAAUUAGGUGUUUACAUUGUUUUGCAGGGGAGCUAGAGAUGGCUCAGUAGUUAAGAGCUCUUAAUGCUCCUGUAGAAGGUAGUUCAGUCCCCAGCAC